rnacentral:rRNA from 1 species
ACGCUCGACACCUACGGGAAGCAGCAGUGGGGAAUAUUGCACAAUGGGGGAAACCCUGAUGCAGCGACGCCGCGUGAGCGAAGAAGUAUUUCGGUAUGUAAAGCUCUAUCAGCAGGGAAGAAAAUGACGGUACCUGACUAAGAAGCCCCGGCUAACUACGUGCCAGCAGCCGCGGUAAUCUGAGCGGGCUGGCAAGGC